AUUGAACGCUGGCGGCAUGCCUUACACAUGCAAGUCGAACGGUAACGGGCCUUCGGGUGCCGACGAGUGGCGAACGGGUGAGUAAUGCAUCGGAACGUACCAUUGAGUGGGGGAUAACGUAGCGAAAGUUACGCUAAUACCGCAUAUUCUGUGAGCAGGAAAGCAGGGGAUCGCAAGACCUUGCGCUCUUUGAGCGGCCGAUGUCGGAUUAGCUAGUUGGUGGGGUAAAGGCCCACCAAGGCUACGAUCCGUAGCGGGUCUGAGAGGAUGAUCAGCCACACUGGGACUGAGACACGGUCCAGACUCCUACGGGAGGCAGCAGUGGGGAAUUUUGGACAAUGGGGGCAACCCUGAUCCAGCCAUGCCGCGUGAGUGAAGAAGGCCUUCGGGUUGUAAAGCUCUUUCGGCCGGGAAAAAAUCGCAUGGGCUAAUACCCUGUGUGGAUGAUGGUACCGGAAUAAGAAGCACCGGCUAACUACGUGCCAGCCGCCGCAGUAACAC
rnacentral:rRNA from 1 species